rfam:Ancylostoma duodenale strain Zhejiang A_duodenale-1.0_Cont2245.1, whole genome shotgun sequence.
GGUUUUGACCCACUAUCUCAAGGUACUGCUGGCGUCCGACCUACCACUACUGGUUGUGUCGAAAAUCUGAAUUUUUGGAUCGCCUUCUCGGGGUAUCCGGGAGGGCAAU